AAGCCAAGGAAACAAACAUAGGUUAACCAGGUCAAUAAAGACUUAACAGAUGCAUUCACCACAACUUGCUGAUCUUGCUGAAUGUUAACCUUGGCUAGGGUUAAGGUUGUUUGGCUUUUUCUUUGUGGCUUAGCAUGUUAUGUAAACUUAUCCCAGUUGGUUCAUUCAGUACUGUGCAAACCUGAGAAAGAGGUCAAUUAGGUGACUAGGUUACAGUGUGUUGUCUGCGUGCAACCACUGGGUACUACAGACAUGCCUAAUAGAGUGGUUUGAUAGAAUUGCUUGGAAUUACUCAGGAAUGCAUGUCUUCUCUGCUGGACUGUGUUCAAAGAAAAAAAAUUGUGCUGCUCGUGGUUGGUGUGGCACAGUACAGAUUGGCCAGCAUUUAUAUCAUGAGGAAGGGACACCACGUUCUUUGGAUCUGUUGUUUUUGAAAUAUCAACCAGGAUUCCCCCCACCCCCCAAGAAAAUAGUCAACAAAUGUUUCUUCAGAUAAAUGAGAUGAACUCACAAAAUAAAGCAGAGAAUGAUCUAAAGAUUCCAGAUUCCACUUUUUCGGAAAGCGUUUAUGAAGGGUUGCGUAGAUAAGGUGCCCCUGGUUCGAUCAGUUACAGCCCGUGAUUCUCCAUGGGCUCCCCAUGGACCUUUUCAUCUCAACCACGCUUCUCUGGAGGACCUUGACAGGACCUUGCACUAAAACUCCCUGGGAGCUCCUGCAUUCUGCAGAUCUCCACAUAUCAGAGCCAAGAUUCUUUGGUAAAUGCUGCCUGCCUCUCUACUUAUCAGCUGGUGACCUUACAAAAAAGGAAGGAGAGAUAAGGAAGGGCCAGGAUUAGUAUGCACAGGAACACAGACACAUGUGCCAGCUUGUUUUUUGGACUGCAGCGCAACAUGUACAGUUUGAACUGUACCAGAGUCAUAUGCUGAAGGCCGGGAAGCUGCCUGUAACCUUGCAGAGAAGACCAUCUACUUGUAUUUUGCAAUCAUAGCAAUGACUCUGCUUUAAGCACAUCUGUGACAUUACAUGUGCAGGGAGAGACUUGGAUAAGAAACUCCACUUGGACUCCACUUCUUGUUUCUUUGGUGGGGAAGUUCUCAAGCCUAUCAAGCUGACAUCAAAUGGCUAACCUUAAAAUAUGUGUGACCUGAAGUCAUGGAACAGAAGAAACAUGCAGCUCAGGGAAGGCCGCUGUGCCAUGAGAUGCAGUUCUGAAAUGACUAGUGAACUCUAACAGGUUACAGAAAUGGGUAAACAAGUCAAAUAUGUAGGGAGGAAUUGAAAGGAGCACCAAAGCACAUGGUUUGUUGGAGCCAGGAGGAUCUGAUUUGUAUUUGGAUUAACCCUAACUGGUUUUAAACUAUGUUUCAGUCAAUUUACUAAUCCUUAAGCCAGCAAAAAAAGCAUACUGGAAUAAUAUUUCUUGCCCUAACUGCCGAGCCCUUUCUGAUUUAGAAUUGUGACUGGCAGGUGAUGCUGUCCUGAAGGUUUUAAUGCGGGACAUAUUAAGGAAAGUAAUUGGUAGAUUUCCCCUAGCUUUGUUUCCCCUCCUCCAAAAGUCACUUUUUUUUUUUUCCUGCUUUCAAGUCAAUUUUUGACUCCUGGCAACUGCCUGGAGAGGUCCCUGAGGUUUUCUUGGCAAGGUUUUUCAGAAGUGGUUUCCCAUCGCCUCCCUCCUAGGUCUGGAUUUAGAGCCAAGCACAUUGUUUAAAUGCAGCCCAGCCAUUCCACAAUGCCUGUUUCAUUCUCUAUUUAAUUCAUAAACAAGAUAAGACUGAACUCUUAUUGCAGGAAGGAAAUAUGAUACCAUAAAAUUAAAAACUGGUGGGAUGAUUCUCGUGAUGGAAAUGCAUGAGGGAAAAAAAAAAACAGUAUGUGCAAAAGGAACAGAAGCAAUAAAAAUGGAAGGAAUGGUGCCGGAUGUCAAAAUUGUCAACCUCUAUGCAAAGAUCCGGAAGAACAGCUCCAGCAGGAGAGGAUAUGAUAGUAUCAGAUAUUUACUCUCACAAAAGCUCAGUUGGGUUUCCCAGAACCUAUUCAAAAAUUGCCACUGAAGGGUAAUUUUUAGGGGGAAAGAAGGGGUAAAAAUAAAUACACCAGGAGAAAUCCCAUUCGCUGCAUUUCAUUUUUUGAACUGAGUUUGACUAACGUUUCUAUCGAUGUGCAGUAAAAUCAAUUUACAUUUUGGCCCUGGAUCCACCCUCCUCCCCUGCUUUUUGGGGCAGCGCUCCCUUCAAAAGAACUAGUGCAGCCUUUUGCCUAAAAAAUAGGUGUAUAUCUCUGGUUAGCACCCAGCCCAGAGAGAAUUGUGCUCUUUCUUCUGAAGCCCCAUCACCCCUGAUUUGUUUUCAGUUGCUUUCUGAGUUUUCCCUUAUUUGUGCAAAUACGGUAUUUACUCUAAAACAAGGUUCUCCAAAGUGGUCAAUAUUGAGGGCUAAUGGGAGUAACCAAGGAGUUGCUGCUGUUAUUAUUAUUACAAGGUAGUCCUCAGGUUGUGACAGCAAUUGGGGCGGGAAUUUAGGUCGCUAAGUGACAUGAUUGUAAGGCAUGAUGUCACGUGACCGCAUUGCUUAGCA